GUGUCAGCAGCCGCGGUAAUACGGGGGGUGCUAGCGUUAUUCGGAAUCAUUGGGCGUAAAGGGCGCGUAGGCGGUCUCUUAAGUCAGAUGUGAAAGCCCUCGGCUUAACCGAGGAAGUGCAUUUGAUACUAAGUGACUUGAGUAUGGGAGAGGGAAGCGGAAUUCCUGGUGUAGCGGUGAAAUGCGUAGAUAUCAGGAGGAACACCGGUGGCGAAGGCGGCUUCCUGGACCAAUACUGACGCUGAGGCGCGAAGGCGUGGGGAGCAAACAGGAUUAGAUACCCUGGUAGUCCACGCAGUAAACGGUGAACACUAGGUGUAGCGGGUAUUGACCCCCGCUGUGCCGAAGCUAACGCAUUAAGUGUUCCGCCUGGGAAGUACGGCCGCAAGGUUAAA
rnacentral:rRNA from 1 species